rnacentral:RNase_P_RNA from 1 species
UUUGCACGGCCAACUGCUGCAAUGAGAAUGUAGAGGAAAAUCCGCUCUAGCACUUGCUGAGAUGCAAGUAGUGUUCAUGCUAGGUCAAAUAAACCUAGGCAGCUUCUUAAUAGAGGUUGACGACUAGUGCAACAGAGACGAGCUUAUUAGAUUAAGGUGCAACGAUGUAAACUCCAUGAGUUAGAAACCCAAAUUUUGGUGGGGGAACCUUGCUAAGGGAAUUAAACUAAAGCAGGGAAGUUAUUUUAAUAACUUAGAUAAAUAGUUGGCGCUGUGAUUAAUUAAUAGUCAAUAAAUUGUUCUAUAUGU